rnacentral:rRNA from 1 species
ACGUUUCAAAGGAACGCUAAUACCGCAACGUCCUACGGGAAAAGCAGGGGACCUUCGGCCUUGCGCUAUCGAUGACCUAGUCGGAUUACUAUUGGUGAGGUAAUGGCUCACCAAGGCACAUCCGUAAUGGUCUGAAGGAUGACAUCACACUGGAACUGAACACGGUCCAACUCCUACGGGAGGACAUGGGGAAUAUUGGACAAUGGGCAAAGCCUGACCAGCCAUGCCGCGUGGUGAAGAAGGUCUUCGAUUGUAAAGCACUUUAAGUUGGGAGAAGGGUUGUAGAUUAAUACUCUGCAAUUUUGACGUUACCACAAUAACACCGGCUAACUCUGUGCCCACCCGGUAAUACAGAGGUGCAAGCGUUAAUCGGAAUUACUGGGCGUAAAGCGCGCGUAGGUGGUUCGUUAAUUGGAUGUGAAAUCCCCGGGCUCAACCUGGGAACUGCAUCC